UCCCUGGUGGCUCAAUUGGUAAAGAAUCUGCCUGCAAUGCAGGAGACCCCAGUUCGAUUUCUGGGUUGGGAAG
rfam:TPA: Bos taurus chromosome 21, whole genome shotgun sequence.